CGGAACGGGUGAGUAACGCGUGAGGAACCUGCCUCAAAGAGGGGGACAACAGUUGGAAACGACUGCUAAUACCGCAUAAGCCCACGGCUCGGCAUCGAGCAGAGGGAAAAGGAGUGAUCCGCUUUGAGAUGGCCUCGCGUCCGGUUAGCUAGUUGGUGAGGUAACGGCCCACCAAGGCGACGAUCGGUAGCCGGACUGAGAGGUUGAACGGCCACAUUGGGACUGAGACACGGCCCAG
rnacentral:rRNA from 1 species